rnacentral:rRNA from 1 species
GACGAACGCUGGCGGCGUGCUUAACACAUGCAAGUCGAACGAUGAAGCCGGAGCUUGCUCUGGUGAAUUAGUGGCGAACGGGUGAGUAACACGUGAGUAACCUGCCCUUGACUCUGGGAUAACUGCGGGAAACUGUAGCUAAUACCGGAUACGACCCUCGGAGGCAUCUCCUGGGGGUGGAAAGAAUUUCGGUCAAGGAUGGACUCUGGGCCUAUCAGCUAGUUGGUGAGGUAAAGGCUCACCAAGGCGACGACGGGUAGCCGGCGUGGGAGGGUGACCGGCCACACUGGGACUGAGACACGGCCCAGAAUCCUACGGGAGGCAGCAGUGGGGAAUAUUGCACAAUGGGCGCAAGCCUGAUGCAGCAACGCCGCGUGAGGGAUGACGGCCUUCGGGUUGUAAACCUCUUUUAGCAGGGAAGAAGCGAAAGUGACGGUACCUGCAGAAAAAGCACCGGCUAACUACGUGCCAGCCGCCGCCGUAA